UGUGUGUGUGUGUGUGUGUGUGUAUGUGAUAAUAUUGAAAUAGAAAAAAAAAUCAAUAACGCCAUUAUCACACGCACACACACACACACACACGCA